rnacentral:rRNA from 1 species
CCUGGCUCAGGAUGAACGCUAGCUACAGGCUUAACACAUGCAAGUCGAGGGGCAGCAUGGUCUUAGCUUGCUAAGGCCGAUGGCGACCGGCGCACGGGUGAGUAACACGUAUCCAACCUGCCGUCUACUCUUGGACAGCCUUCUGAAAGGAAGAUUAAUACAAGAUGGCAUCAUGAGUCCGCAUGUUCACAUGAUUAAAGGUAUUCCGGUAGACGAUGGGGAUGCGUUCCAUUAGAUAGUAGGCGGGGUAACGGCCCACCUAGUCUUCGAUGGAUAGGGGUUCUGAGAGGAAGGUCCCCCACAUUGGAACUGAGACACGGUCCAAACUCCUACGGGAGGCAGCAGUGAGGAAUAUUGGUCAAUGGGCGAGAGCCUGAACCAGCCAAGUAGCGUGAAGGAUGACUGCCCUAUGGGUUGUAAACUUCUUUUAUAAAGGAAUAAAGUCGGGUAUGGAUACCCGUUUGCAUGUACUUUAUGAAUAAGGAUCGGCUAACUCCGUGCCAGCAGCCGCGGUAAUACGGAGGAUCCGAGCGUUAUCCGGAUUUAUUGGGUUUAAAGGGAGCGUAGAUGGAUGUUUAAAUCAGUUGUGAAAGUUUGCGGCUCAACCGUAAAAUUGCAGUUGAUACUGGAUAUCUUGAGUGCAGUUGAGGCAGGCGGAAUUCGUGGUGUAGCGGUGAAAUGCUUAAAUAUCCCGAAAAACUCCGAUUGCAAAGGCAGCCUGUCAAGCUGCAACUGACAUUGAGGCUCGACAGUGUGGGUAUCAAACAGGAUUAAAUACCCUGGUAGUCCACACGGUAAACGAUGAAUACUCGCUGUUUGCGAUAUACAGCAAGCGGCCAAGCGAAAGCGUUAAGUAUUCCACCUGGGGAGUACGCCGGCAACGGUGAAACUCAAAGGAAUUGACGGGGGCCCGCACAAGCGGAGGAACAUGUGGUUUAAUUCGAUGAUACGCGAGGAACCUUACCCGGGCUUAAAUUGCAGAUGAAUUACGGUGAAAGCCGUAAGCCGCAAGGCAUCUGUGAAGGUGCUGCAUGGUUGUCGUCAGCUCGUGCCGUGAGGUGUCGGCUUAAGUGCCAUAACGAGCGCAACCCUUGUUGUCAGUUACUAACAGGUUCCGCUGAGGACUCUGACAAGACUGCCAUCGUAAGAUGUGAGGAAGGUGGGGAUGACGUCAAAUCAGCACGGCCCUUACGUCCGGGGCUACACACGUGUUACAAUGGGGGGUACAGAGGGCCGCUACCACGCGAGUGGAUGCCAAUCCCCAAAACCUCUCUCAGUUCGGACUGGAGUCUGCAACCCGACUCCACGAAGCUGGAUUCGCUAGUAAUCGCGCAUCAGCCACGGCGCGGUGAAUACGUUCCCGGGCCUUGUACACAC